CUACGGGUUGCUCCAGUGGGGAAUAUUGGGCAAUGGGCGAAAGCCUGACCCAGCAACGCCGCGUGAAGGAAGAAGGCUUUCGGGUCGUAAACUUCUAUCCUAGGUGAAGAUAAUGACGGUAGCCUAGAAGGAAGCCCCGGCUAACUACGUGCCAGCAGCCGCGGUAAUACGUAGGGGGCAAGCGUUGUCCGGAAUGAUUGGGCGUAAAGGGCGCGUAGGCGGCCAUGUAAGUCCGAUGUGAAAGUCCUGCUUUUAAGGUGGGAAUUGCAUUGGAAACUGCGUGGCUUGAGUGCAGGAGAGGUAAGCGGAAUUCCCGGUGUAGCGGUGAAAUGCGUAGAGAUCGGGAGGAACACCAGUGGCGAAGGCGGCUUACUGGACUGUAACUGACGCUGAGGCGCGAAAGUGUGGGGAGCAAACAGGAUUAGAUACCCCAGUAGUC
rnacentral:rRNA from 1 species